CGAUAUUUAUUCAUAUUUGUAAAUUGAUUUUUUUUUCUUCUUCUGUGUUCAACUUUGUUAUUAAUUGUAAUUGUGUGGUAUCUGGUAUACUGUUUUAUUCACUAUUACUAUUAUAAGGACCACCUCCUUUUCUGACUGCUACCAGGCUAAGCAAUUUUCCUGGUAUUUUUAACGAUAUUUAUUCAUGUUUGUAAAUGGAUUUUUUUUCUUCUUCUUCUGUGUUCAACUUUGUUAUUAAUUGUAAUUGUGUGGUUUUUGGUAUACUGUUUUAUUCACCCUGUAUGCUUGUUCAUUGCUUGGCAAAAUAAAUUGAAUUGAAUUGAAUUGAAUACUAUAUUUAAUUGCGGUGAUUUGUCGGUUACGAGCAGAUAGUCCUGGCAGGCUUCGAUAUUCUAUAAAACUAGAAGCUAUCUGGACAGUACUUCAACAGGAAGCUGGAUAGAGACACUUCGUCACAUCAAGCUACGAGAAAGCAUAUCAUCAUUUCACCGAAAUCUACUCGAACACCGCAUCCAAAUCAGACUUUAAAAAUGGCGUCCAAAACCAUGAUUGCUCUCUACUUUCUGAUUGCCUUGGCCGUGGCAGCAAGUGUUUUAGUCGAGGAAGAUGAGAUCGACAAUUCUAAUGCGUUGAAUGUCGAGAAAAACGUCAAAGGCGUCAAGGAAGAUGAGAUCGACAAUGAUAAUGAGUUGGAUGUCGAGGAAGACAUGCCUUAUACUCCCCGCAGGAGUAGAAUAGGGGAAGAGUAGCUUCGAGAAGAUCGGAAAGUAUACUAGCUGGAUCUUUUCCAUGUGGUCAGACGUCUGCUCUGUUUGUUAAUUGAGACUUUUGUCAAAUUGAUGCGAGAAAAACAAUCAUCGGUGAUCAGUCAUCACUGACCUUAACCCUAACCCCAACGAAUUCAUAACCUUGCCCCUAAAAUAUAAACAUUCAAUAAAUGUAUAUAGUACAAUUUGAAUCUCGAUUCAAAAGGAAAGUAUCAAUAUGCCUACAUGUAGCCCAAUAUAGUUUUGUGUUGACAACAGGUUAGUCAAUUCACUGGAAAUUUGAUUGUUUUGAUAUAAUGCAUUGAAGAGUACAAUAUUGUACAUGUGCUUCAUGUGUAGAUAAAACGUGAAAAUGAAACCAUUGAGGGGUAUACAUUGAUAAGUUGUAAAUUGUCAAAUUUUUAAUCAGCUGCUUUAUUCUCUGACAAACUGUGCACAAAACGGUCUCAUUAAAUGGAAUGACGUAA